CGUAGGGAAGAAAAUAUAAUCACUCGUCUGAGAAUAGGACAUACAGGUCUCAACCUUUCGUUAUAUAAAAUAGGUAAGCACCCAACUGGGAAAUGUAUAUAUUGUAACCAACUAGAAACGGUUGAACAUGUUCUCCUUCAGUGUAGGAGAUACACUAUCAAUAGGGAACGCCUCUUUCAGUCAUUACGGAAGGCAAAACAUCAUGAUAUCUCAUUGACAGGUGUCUUGGGGAAAACAGCAGGCCAGAUAUAUUGUCAUAUAAUUAAGUUUCUUAAAGAAACUGAGUUAGAAAAAAGAAUUUAAUUUAUGUUUGUUUUUUGUUUUCUCUCUUUUGUUUAUUUAAUUUAUUUCCUGCUUAAUCUCUCGUUUCACACUCCAGUCCAGCUUGUAGCGGUAAUGCACCGUUAAACUGGUUUGCCAACCGCCAUUAAACGAAGAAGAAGAAGAAGAAGAAGAAGCAGUUGUACGUUUCUAACACUAACGUUAGGUAGUAGUAGAAGCUCUCCUUUAUUGGUAGUGGAAUUUUGGACAAAUGGAAGACCACAGCUAUUAUUUAGCACAAGUGCCGAGGGAGGGUGAAUCUGCUUCGAAGAAGCGAAAGCAUGAUGAAGCCAGACUUAUAACGGGAGCGACGCAGGCAGAAAUCACGGGUAAACAUCGGUGUGGCUUUUCCUAGAUGGAAGGGUCUAAUGAGGGAAAAAUGUUUUCAAAGCGACACCGAAGUUGCCUGUUUUCUGAUGGACAGCUACGAGACAGGUCCUGCAACAUCGACUCCCUUGAAGAGAAAACCUUUGGAAGUCCCAGCUCCAGCAUUGGUGCUUCUAGUGGAACAGACCGAGACGAGCAUCUUGAUGUCAUGAAGCCACAGAAAUUCAGAACCUUGAACAAAGGUAACAUGUAGACAUCAUAACUUUGAGCCCUGUAUUGCUUUUCUCCAAAUGUUCAUAAUAUAUUUGUAAUAUGUUGUUGAGGAGGACUUGGAGGAAAAUAUUUUCAAUGACCCAAUGAACAGUGUGUAGGUAGUACUUCCUAAUUACAUGUAUUAUUUUUCAGUGAUAUUAUUUGAGAACUUGUUUUUAUCUGAAAGUUGUCAUUAUGUAAAGAAUUGAUUGGGCAGAUAAAGCUUCAUCUUACUCCCUUGAAAGAGAUGAUGGACAGAAUGGUUUCAGCUCUGAUGAAGAGGAUCUUCCACCGAUUUCUAUACGGUGUGUUAUUUGUGUCAGUUUGCAAUUGUUUUGUGGUGUUUGUUUACUACAGAUUUUUGUGCCUCAGUAGAAAGAGUGUGCUUUCUUCAGUGAUCCACCCAAUCGAUGGACUUCCUUGCCUGCACAUGAAGACGCUCCUGAUGAGCCUUCUCCCUGUGAUCAUGAACCUGUAUUCCCAGAACCACAGAAUGUCCUUUGUGAAGAUGACAUCAUAGGUGUCAGAGCCUCCAAAGUGUACGAGAACUGCUUAAGACAACUGGCUACAUUUCUGAUCCUGCCUGUGGAUAAAUGCACUGGCCUUCUGAGGACUGGUGCGCCGUGCAACUCUGUUGCACCCUUUGAGAUCAACAUCACCACCAAGGGCACAGCAGCUACUAUCGAAUGGAUAUAAUGGACACAGCUUGUGGAGGUGGAAUUCCCAGCCUGGCAUGAAGUUUGGGAUGCAAGCUGGAGAUUUUCUCUUGUCCACCAACAUUUUGUUGUCUGACAACAACAGAUUGCCCUCUUGUUCAAAUUCAUGAACAUGGGGAUGGUGAACAGGAAGACUUUCUUCUCCAUUCAGGACAUUUACUGCGUCAAUACAAUAAAGGACUUCUGGGAAGAGAGAAGGACAGAGGAUCUUUGUGGCCUUCAAGGGAAAGAUGUUGUUAUCCUAGAUGGCAGAAAUGACUCUCCUGGUCACUGUGCACAAUACUGCACCACCAUGGAGAAUGACACCAAGGAGAUCAUUCAUGUUGCCACCAUAGACAAGCGGCAAACAUCAUGGAACUCUGUCGUCAUGGAGAAGGAGGGUUUCAUCCAGACUGGACAAGCUUACAUCAGAA